CCCUUAGAUGUUCUGGGCUGCACACGUGCUACACUGGCAGGUUCAGCGAGCUUCAUGCCCUGAUCUGAAAGGAAUGGGAAAUCUUUUCAAAACCUGCCGUGCUUGGGAUAGAUGUUUGCAAUUAUUCAUCUUCAACGAGGAUUGCCUUGUAAGCGCACGUCAUCAGCGUGCAUUGAAUACGACCCUGUAUGCUGUACACACCGCCCGUCGCUCCUACCGAUUGAAGUUUUCGGUGAGUUGACAGGAGGAUUUUUUUGAAACUGGUUCGCCAGUGGAUUUUAGAUCCAAAUGCCAACGAAUCGAUGGCUUUAGAGGAAGGAGAAGUCGUAACA
rnacentral:rRNA from 1 species